rnacentral:lncRNA from 1 species
CUCCUAGCUAGUAAAAGUGUAAACUGCAAAGUUCUAUUGGAAAUUUAUAGCAGGCAGUCAAAAUUAAAUUCACCCCUCCUUUAUAGUCAAAAAAUAAAUUGCCAGUCACAACGUCAGAAGUUGGCUUAGUUACCUUUUGGUCCUGACAUGGUUUUUGUGGUUAUCUUUGCAAAUAAACAUAGUUAUUUCCAUUUAUUUAGUGACCUAAAAUAUGGCAUACAAAGUUGAUUGUUUAAUUAAAACGUAUGAACUUAAGAGAUACGCGUGUUUGUUGUUGGAGUCGAGGAUGAUGCUUAUGCUUACCUUAUCUUUGUACCUAUUUGUACAGCCUGUACUAAACCCAACAGAAAAAAUUUCGUUAUUCAAAAGAAACAACACUGAAAACAUUUCAAACAAAUUCAACUACAAACAAUUUCCUGGAAAUUUCACUAAAUUCUUUACAUCCUUUUGGGGAAAACUUGAAUGGAAGAAGCAAGAGAACCAAGUACUAACUGCAAGUUGAGCAUGGGAAGGAAGGUGGUGGGAUGUUUCUCAAUAUCCAAGGUUCAUACAAUCAUAUUGUACAGUAACCUUGAAGACAAAAAAUCCUACUUGAAAAUUGAUAAAGAGAAGAAAUAGAAAAUUUUUAGGGUUAUGAAAUGUGACCAAGCGAAGAGAGGAGGGACCGAGUUGUCUUUUGUGAGAGGAGCAAGCUUGAUGUAAACCCUAAUGGGGUU